rnacentral:rRNA from 1 species
GUCCACACUGUAAACGAUGAUUACUCGCUGCUGGGAGGUAACUUUCAGUGGCUAAGCAAAAGCGAUAAGUAAUCCACCUGGGGAGUACACCGGCAACGGUGAAACUCAAAGGAAUUGACGGGGGCCCGCACAAGUGGAGGAGCAUGUGGUUUAAUUCGAUGAUACGCGAGGAACCUUACCAGGGCUUGAAAGUUAGCGACCGGGUCUGAAAAGACUCUUCCCGAAAGGGCGCGAAACUAGGUGCUGCAUGGCUGUCGU